AGCAAAAACAGAUUCUAGGGGAGCGGCUUUACCCACUCGUUAAGAAACACAAGCCUGAUCUUGUCGCAAAGAUUACAGGCAUGCUUCUGGAGAUGGACAACUCAGAGCUGCUUCUAUUGUUGGAGUCGCCUGACACUCUGGCCUCUAAGAUAGAGGAAGCUGUGCAGGUGCUGAAGAUCUCUAAAACUAAAGCAUCUGGUCAAGACAGUCUUCAUCCAAGUUACCUGCCUGCCGAGGUUGCUGUCAAUUGAAUAACAACAGGGAUAAAAGUCUAGAGGUUAUGGUGCAGCUUGGCUCCUUGAGAGCAAAAUUUUGAUACUUGACAAAAUUGAAUCUUCUCCUUUCUGCCCUUUAAAUUUUACAGCACAGGAUCUUGUCAAUUCCAUGAACUGUUACGAUCUUCUCUUAUGGGGGUCUAUCAGUAAGAGGUGGAAAAACACUCUUAUUGUGGUAGUGACG
rnacentral:misc_RNA from 1 species